UACAGAGGGUGCAAGCGUUAUCCGGAUUCACUGGGUUUAAAGGGUGCGUAGGAGGGCAGGUAAGUCCGUGGUGAAAUCUCUGAGCUUAACUCAGAAACUGCCGUGGAUACUACCGGUCUUGAAUAUCGUGGAGGUGAGCGGAAUAUGUCAUGUAGCGGUGAAAUGCUUAGAUAUGACAUAGAACACCAAUUGCGAAGGCAGCUCACUACCCGAAUAUUGACUCUGAGGCACGAAAGCGUGGGGAUCAAACAGG
rnacentral:rRNA from 1 species